UAGGCUAACUAGGCUAGGCUAAACUGAAUUAAGAUAGGCUAAGCUAAACUAAGCUAGUCUACGCUAGGCCAGGCUUGACAGGGUUAGGCUAAACUAAGCUAACCUAGGCUGCAUGCAUGCUAGAGAUGCCCUCACUAGAACCCUGUGAAUGUGUAGGAAGGAGUAUAGUUGCAGUUUUGUACUUAUUUUGGAUAUCAUUCUCUAUCAUUCACAUUAUCAGACCCUGGUCAAAUACACCAUAUCUAUGUUGUUUCCAUUCUGGGGAUAGUUUCAGUCAGGGAAGGAGCGGGUACACUAUUUCCUGUUAGGGGUGGUUGAGUUCAGGGUAUGUGGGGGUAGGGUUAAGUGUAGGGUAGGUGGGGUUGGUGGAGUGUAGGGUAGUGUGGUUCAUGUCAGGAUCCUAACUCGGCUAACAAAGCUAAACAAGUAUACAUCAAUGGAAAACAGGAAGCAAAAUCCAACAAUCUGUCCUCCCAUUGGCUAGUCCCUAGGAACAUCAUCAUUCAGUGUGCGUCCGUGCACACACAAGUGUGUAUUUAAAUGUGUACUGUAUACUCAGCAUAUGGUAUGCUGACAUAUUAAUCUCCAAGGAAACAGCUGGCUUCAUGUGUGGUUAUUAUGAGCUACAUAGUUUACAAGGUUUGCUCCUCUAGCUAGCUGUGUACAGCGCUGGUGUCCUCCAGGCUACAGACGUGCUUCACUCUGGACGUGCCUGGGGACCUGCUGUACCACAGACCCCUCCAGCCCUCCAGGCCAGGGGUCCAGCCGUGCCCUCCAGGCCAGGGGUCCAGCUGUGCCCUCCAGGCCAGGGGUCCAGCUGUGCCCUCCAGGCCAGGGGUCCAGCUAUGCCCUCCAGGCCAGGGGUCCAGCCGUGCCCUCCAGGCCAGGGGUCGGGGGUCACGCUGACUGUCUUGUAGGGAAAGGCAGCGACUGUAGGUGCUGCUCUAAAGAUAAACAAUCUCAAUAUAAUUACUUUUUUUAUUUUUUGCUGAGGCUGCAGCCAGAGAAUACCAGAGAGGUGGAGGGAGAGAGAAGGGGAUAUAGAGGAGAAGGGAAGGCAGAGAAUGUGUGUGUGUGUGUGAGAGAGAGUGAGUAAGCAUAAAGGUGUAGAUCAGCACCUUCAUGAAUCCUUUCUCCUUAAUCGCUCUGGAUCGAUGUGGGUAUAAAUCUACGUCACCUUUGACCCCAACUCAAACAAUCAAUAGCUUUAAAUCCCUCUGCUCCACAAAAGGCUGUGUUUGCAGAUAAGCACACACACACUGACACACAGUAAGGAUAGUGCUGGGGUUUCCUUGGAGAUGUCUGCAGUCUGAGUCUAGGUUCGCCAUGUCUCCUCAUCCUACUUCCUUCUUCCUGUCUGUCUCUGCAUGAGACUUCCUGUCAUAUCAUACACCUUUUAUUGCCUUUUUCUGUUGCCUUCUUCUUUGAGUUGUUUUUCUUAGUUUUUCUUUUUUAAAUGAAAUAUAUCAAAUAUAGGGAACUUUAUUAUAAUGCGGGUGUUGCAUGAAUGUCUGUUUACAUGGGAAAUUAUGUAAAAACAAAAGAUGAUUUAUCAAAAUAUUGCAAAGAUGAUUUAAAGAACGUUGUUAGUAGAGAUUCCUAGUUGUAAAGGACAAGGCGGUCUUGUUGCCAUGUCGAUAGAAUCUGCCCUGCCAAAACUGGCUAGUGCCCAGCCAACCCAAUGCACCCUCUCACCCGUCCUCCCUUACCUCUCACCCCUGCCCCCUCACCCCUGCCCCCUCACCCCUGCUCCUUGCCCCCUCACCCCUGCCCCCUUACCUCUCACCCCCAC